rnacentral:rRNA from 1 species
UUGGCAUUGGGGGGAACCCUGAUCAGCCUGCCGCGUGUGUGAAGAAGGCCUUUUGGUUGUAAAGCACUUUAAGCGAGGAGGAGGCUACUCUAGUUAAUACCUAGAGAUAGUGGACGUUACUCGCAGAAUAAGCACCGGCUAACUCUGUGCCAGCAGCCGCGGUAAUACAGAGGGUGCGAGCGUUAAUCGGAUUUACUGGGCGUAAAGCGUGCGUAGGUGGCCAAUUAAGUCAAAUGUGAAAUCCCCGAGCUUAACUUGGGAAUUGCAUUCGAUACUGGUUGGCUAGAGUAUGGGAGAGGAUGGUAGAAUUCCAGGUGUAGCGGUGAAAUGCGUAGAGAUCUGGAGGAAUACCGAUGGCGAAGGCAGCCAUCUGGCCUAAUACUGACACUGAGGUACGAAAGCAUGGGGA